UAAGGUGCAUCUAGUGCAGAAG
rnacentral:miRNA from 1 species